UACAGAGGUGGCAAGCGUUGUUCGGAAUUACUGGGCGUAAAGGGCGCGUAGGCGGCCUACUAAGUCAGACGUGAAAUCCCCCGGCUCAACCUGGGAACUGCGUCUGAUACUGGAAGGCUUGAGUAUGGGAGAGGGAUGUAGAAUUCCAGGUGUAGCGGUGAAAUGCGUAGAUAUCUGGAGGAACACCGGUGGCGAAGGCGGCACGCUGGGCCGUACCUGACACUAAAACGCGACAGCAUGGGGAGCGAACGGG
rnacentral:rRNA from 1 species